UGCGACAUGGCGGAAUGGUAGACGCAGCACUCUAUGAUAGGAAUGUCAAACCUUAGAUGUGUGGAGCUUGACAACUCGUCCCGGUUCGAGUCCGGGUGUCGCAA
rnacentral:tRNA from 1 species